rnacentral:rRNA from 1 species
UACGAAGGGGGCAAGCGUUGUUCGGAAUUACUGGUCGUAAAGGGCGCGUAGGCGGCUUAUCAAGUCAGGCGUGAAAUUCCCGGGCUCAACCUGGGGGCUGCGCUUGAUACUGAUGAGCUUGAAUGCGGGAGAGGAUAGUGGAAUUCCCAGUGUAGAGGUGAAAUUCGUAGAUAUUGGGAAGAACACCAGUGGCGAAGGCGGCUAUCUGGCCCGUAAUUGACGCUGAGGCGCGAAAGCGUGGGGAGCAAACAGG